rnacentral:rRNA from 1 species
AAUCUGCCUGGUAGUGGGGGAUAACGUCCGGAAACGGGCGCUAAUACCGCAUACGUCCUGAGGGAGAAAGUGGGGGAUCUUCGGACCUCACGCUAUCAGAUGAGCCUAGGUCGGAUUAGCUAGUUGGUGGGGUAAAGGCCUACCAAGGCGACGAUCCGUAACUGGUCUGAGAGGAUGAUCAGUCACACUGGAACUGAGACACGGUCCAGACUCCUACGGGAGGCAGCAGUGGGGAAUAUUGGACAAUGGGCGAAAGCCUGAUCCAGCCAUGCCGCGUGUGUGAAGCAAGGUCUUCGGAUUGUAAAGCACUUUAAGUUGGGAGGAAGGGCAGUAAGUUAAUACCUUGCUGUUAUGACGUUACCAACAGAAUAAGCACCGGCUAACUUCGUGCCAGCAGCCGCGGUAAUACGAAGGGUGCAAGCGUUAAUCGGAAUUACUGGGCGUAAAGCGCGCGUAGGUGGUUCAGCAAGUUGGAUGUGAAAUCCCCGGGCUCAACCUGGGAACUGCAUCCAAAACUACUGAGCUAGAGUACGGUAGAGGGUGGUGGAAUUUCCUGUGUAGCGGUGAAAUGCGUAGAUAUAGGAAGGAACACCAGUGGC